rnacentral:lncRNA from 1 species
UAGUCAAUAUCCUGUCAAAAAUCAUAGUAGGUUUGUUGUGAUAUCCAUAAGGCUUACUAUGGAGAUUGAUGUAGGUUUGUCUUGAUGCAUAUUAUAUGAUUUAUGGUAUAUUUAGAUAUGUUGCUUUGUUGUGAUAUCCACAAGAGCAGUAUUUUUCAGAUAUAACUGUAUGAAAAUGAAAGAUCUGACUUAACUACAAAAUAUUACAGUUUGUUGUGAUAUCC